rnacentral:rRNA from 1 species
UACGAAGGGGGCUAGCGUUGUUCGGAAUUACUGGGCGUAAAGGGCGCGUAGGCGGUGUGUCAAGUCAGGCGUGAAAGCCCCGGGCUCAACCUGGGAAUGGCGAUGGAAACUGGCGGGCUGGAGUAUGGCAGAGGGGGGUGGAAUUCCGCGUGUAGCAGUGAAAUGCGUAGAGAUGCGGAGGAACACCGAUGGCGAAGGCAGCCCCCUGGGCCAAUACUGACGCUCAGGCACGAAAGCGUGGGGAGCAAACAGG